rfam:Rattus norvegicus chromosome 4, whole genome shotgun sequence.
GAGGAUUUAGCUCAGUGGUAGAGCACUUGCCUAGCAAGCGCAAGGCCCUGGGUUCGAUCCCCAGCUCC